AUCUACUUUAGUUAAAUAUAAUAAGCAUUUAUCAAUUACUAGCAAAUGGCUUAAAACAUUCUUAAUUAAUAAUUAUGAAAAAUAAAUAUAUUUUUCACCCAAAUAUGAAUCCUAGUUAAGAUUUUUAAUUGAUUGUCAAGUUUUCAUGUCAUGUCGUAUCGAGCUGCGCAGCAUCGCCUAUCUGAUUAUGGUAUGUAUGCAGGUUGGAGUCGGCAAUGCGAUGCAUGCGAUCACUUUGGGGCAAGAUAAAAUUUUACCUGGUAUUGUAUUAAAUGAUUAUUGUAAAAUUUUCUUUCUGAUCUUCAGGAGACGUUCAGUAAAUUAUGGUUACUCUUAUUACUUCAAUUUCUCCAUUCAAAAAAAGUAGAUUUUUUUUUGACUCAUGUAUAAGC
rnacentral:lncRNA from 1 species